rnacentral:rRNA from 1 species
AGAGUUUGAUCCCUGGCUCAGAUUGAACGCUGGCGGCAUGCCUUACACAUGCAAGUCGAACGGUAACGGGCCUUCGGGUGCCGACGAGUGGCGAACGGGUGAGUAAUGCAUCGGAACGUACCUUUCAGUGGGGAUAACGUAGCGAAAGUUACGCUAAUACCGCAUAUUCUGUGAGCAGGAAAGCAGGGGAUCGCAAGACCUUGCGCUGAUUGAGCGGCCGAUGUCAGAUUAGCUAGUUGGUGAGGUAAAGGCUCACCAAGGCGACGAUCUGUAGCGGGGUCUGAGAGGAUGAUCCGCCACACUGGAACUGAGACACGGUCCAGACUCCUACGGGAGGCAGCAGUGGGGAAUUUUGGACAAUGGGGCAACCCUGAUCCAGCCAUGCCGCGUGAGUGAAGAAGGCCUUCGGGUUGUAAAGCUCUUUCGGCCGGGAAGAAAUCGCAUGGGUUAAUACCCUGUGCGGAUGACGGUACCGGCAUAAGAAGCACCGGCUAACUACGUG